CACAAGCGGUGGAGCAUGUGGUUUAAUUCGAAGCAACGCGAAGAACCUUACCAGGUCUUGACAUCCCCUGACAACCCGAGAGAUCGGGCGUUCCCCUUCGGGGGACAGGGUGACAGGUGGUGCAUGGUUGUCGUCAGCUCGUGUCGUGAGAUGUUGGGUUAAGUCCCGCAACGAGCGCAACCCUCGACCUUAGUUGCCAGCAUUCAGUUGGGCACUCUAAGGUGACUGCCGGCUAAAAGUCGGAGGAAGGUGGGGAUGACGUCAAAUCAUCAUGCCCCUUAUGACCUGGGCUACACACGUGCUACAAUGGUUGGUACAACGAGUUGCGAGUCGGUGACGGCGAGCUAAUCUCUUAAAGCCAAUCUCAGUUCGGAUUGUAGGCUGCAACUCGCCUACAUGAAGUCGGAAUCGCUAGUAAUCGCGGAUCAGCACGCCGCGGUGAAUACGUUCCCGGGCCUU
rnacentral:rRNA from 1 species